GAUGAACGCUAGCGACAGGCUUAACACAUGCAAGUCGAGGGGCAGCGUGGGAGGUGGCAACACCACCCGACGGCGACCGGCGCACUGGUGAGUAACACGUAUGCAACCUGCCCCCUACAGGGGAAUAACCCAGAGAAAUUUGGCCUAAUGCCCCGUAGUCCGCGGCGCGGCAUCGCGCUGCGGGGAAAGACGAGUCGGUAGGGGAUGGGCAUGCGGCGCAUUAGCUGGUUGGCGGGGCAACGGCCCACCAAGGCUACGAUGCGUAGGGGUUCUGAGAGGAAGGUCCCCCACACUGGUACUGAGACACGGACCAGACUCC
rnacentral:rRNA from 1 species